GCAGCCUGAUGCAGCGACGCCGCGUGAGGGAUGACGGCCUUCGGGUUGUAAACCUCUUUCAGUAGGGAAGAAGCGAAAGUGACGGUACCUGCAGAAGAAGCACCGGCUAACUACGUGCCAGCAGCCGCGGUAAUACGUAGGGUGCGAGCGUUAUCCGGAAUUAUUGGGCGUAAAGAGCUCGUAGGCGGUUUGUCGCGUCUGUCGUGAAAGUCCGGGGCUUAACCCCGGAUCUGCGGUGGGUACGGGCAGACUAGAGUGCAGUAGGGGAGACUGGAAUUCCUGGUGUAGCGGUGGAAUGCGCAGAUAUCAGGAGGAACACCGAUGGCGAAGGCAGGUCUCUGGGCUGUAACUGACGCUGAGGAGCGAAAGCAUGGGGAGCGAACAGGAUUAGAUACCCUGGUAGUCCAUGCCGUAAACGUUGGGCACUAGGUGUGGGGACCAUUCCACGGUUUCCGCGCCGCAGCUAACGCAUUAAGUGCCCCGCCUGGGGAGUACGGCCGCAAGGCUAAAACUCAAAGGAAUUGACGGGGGCCCGCACAAGCGGCGGAGCAUGCGGAUUAAUUCGAUGCAACGCGAAGAACCUUACCAAGGCUUGACAUGUUCUCGAUCGCCGUAGAGAU
rnacentral:rRNA from 1 species